rnacentral:sRNA from 1 species
GGUCCCUUCAUGUGUAGUCUAUUUGAUAUACAAAAGCUCUACUGCCAGGAGCAAAAAUUUUGAUGUCAAUGAUCCAUCCUGCUACUAGGUGAGGUUUAAGUCCAUAAUUUAUCUUGCCCAUUGUACUUAUGCUGAUGUCACCAAUACCUUCUGGCAACAGGCAUAAUAUGCCCAAGUUGAUCCAUGCUUCCACCAGCAACUAUUGUGUCAGAGAUCUCCCGUGACAUAUGAGACUAGGUUGAUAUUGGUGAUCCCAACUUAUACCAGAAAUAAUUGAUGUCACUCAUCCAUGUGGCCACAAGCAACCAUAUUCAAGUAAAUAAUCAUUGAUACCUCUAAACAGCUUGGUGAAGUCUGUAAUCCUGUGACCCCAAGCAUUUAUAGUGAAUUGAAUGUCCAUUAUUGCUCCCUAAGUUCAUUUUGAGGUGUAUGUUUGGUGCUUCCACCUGAGAUGAGUUUGAUGUCUGUCGUAUGACCUGCUAGCUGAAGUUAUGUUGAGGUCACUGAUACAUCAUGGCAAGAGACAACAUAGUAUUUCCAUGAUCAAUGAUGCGACCAGCAGCCAUGAUGUCAUGCUCUUUGGGACCUCAUUAAUAUGAAUAAUUCUGUCACCAGAAUGUAUGCAGAGGUCAGUGAUCUAAGCUUCUUCCAACUGAGACCAUGUUAUAUGUGAGAUGUAUUUUUCUAGGUGUAAACAUCAUGAUUUCGAUGAUCAGUCUUUUCCCUGGAGAAGAGGUUUAUGUCCAUGAUCCUACCUCUACUCUGAAACUAUGUUGAUUUCACUGAUCCCUCUGCCCCCCAUCAGCGAGGGUACGUCUAACAUCCAUAUUCCCAGUUGCAAUCAGAAUUAUAAUAUGUGCUUGUACCAACAACCAUGUUGAUAUACAUCGUGUAUUUUGCCAGUGGACAUUCUUCUAAUUGUCACGAUGCCUAUUGCUCUUGGAGAGCAUGCUGAUGUCCCUGUUCCAUACUGUUGCUUUAGAUCUUUUUUCUGGUAGAUUCUCUGUGUUUUCUCUGGAGGCCAAUUUAAUGUUUGUAAUCCAAACUGCAGUAUGAUGCUGUGCUUAUAUCAGUGAUUCCUGCUGCAUCCAGUAACUGUGAUGAUGUCCAUAGUUCAUUCUGCAUAUGGAAACACUGUGGUUGGCCUUGAUCCAUGUUACUUCUGGAGAUAAUGCUGAAGGCCAUGGUGUAUACUGCUUCAUGAUUUUAUGUUUAGAUACCAUAGUUUGUCCACCAUCCAUACUGUCCCAAGCAACUAUGUUUUCAGUGAUUCAAGUUGCUGCUGAGAAUUACAUUCAUAUCAAUGAUUAUACUUUCACCAGUAACUAUAUUGAUGUCAAGGAUCUAUCCUGGAGAAGAGGUUAUGUCCAUGAUCUGACCUGCCCUCGCAAAUUAUGUUCAUGUCUCUGAUUCCCUCCUCCUGCCAGAGAGCAUGAAACAUCAUGACAUUUCUUUGUUCCACAGUUCCAAACACAACUAUGCUGUCAGUGAUUCUUCCUGCUUCUGGGUACCACACAAAUAACAGUGGUCCCAACUUGCCACCAGAAAAUAUGUUGAAUCUUCCAUACUGUCACCACAACCACACUGAAGUCCACAGUUCCUAUUGCCUCCAAAGAGCUUUUCAAUAUCUGUAAUCCCUGUGGCAACCAGAAAUCAUGUUAAAUUUCAUGGUCAAUACUUCUAAUGUCAUGCUAAGCAAUAGACACUAUGAUAUCAUUGUCCAUGCUGCUAUUGGCAACCAUGAUGUCUGUGAUCCCUACUGCCACUGAGUACCAGAUUGAUAUCUCUGAGCCCAGUUGCCUCUAGAAUCUAUUUUGAUGUCACUAAUUCAUGUUGUCACCAGUAACCAUGUUGAAGUCCAUACUCCAAGUUGCCAGAGGUGACCCUGUUGAUGGUUAUGAUCCUUAUUGCUGCCAGAAACUAUGUUAAAGUGCAGGUUCUAUAAUGCUGUCUGAGAUCAUGUUGAGGUAAGUGCUCUGUGCUAAA